GGGGGAGGGUGUGAAUUGGUGUUGUUUCAAAAACACUUUCUUUUCACAAUUUUGCAAUCAAAGUAUAAAGCUUUUUGAAAUUUCUUGAAUUGCAAGCAAUCAGAAUAUGUAUGCAGCGAAAAUUACGUAGUUGACUGCGUAAAGAAUAAAGUCGACUGGAAUGUAAAAGAUAAGGGAUAGAGAAAUGCAAACACAUAUUUUGAGUAUUCCUCCCUACACCUCACCAACUUCAUCCUGCACCUCCUAAAUUCUUUUGAAUUCCAACUGUAUCCCUAAGUCUAUUCCUAAGUCUAGUUUUGUCAGUGAUCAGAACAUAUUUUGAUUUUCAAAAAAUAUUGACCCAUCCAGUCAUAAGCUGCAGACCCUACACUCCUUUUCUUGUUUCUCCUCUUUGUUAUCCUUUCUUCCUCUGAGUGGUCUUCCUUUCCCUUCUCUCUCAUUUGUUCACUGUGUAUUUCGCGUUGGCGUCGUGGUUUGCUCUCUCCCUCUUUUCUUCACUCGUGUUGGUGUCGUGGUUGCAGGUUGUCUUUUUCUCGUACAUCAACGUCCAUUUUGAUUUGUGGUUGAUGUAGUAUAUGUGACGGUAGAAAUAAUAGAAU
rnacentral:lncRNA from 1 species